ensembl:lncRNA
CAGCCUGGGCCUUCUAGGCGCCUGUCAUGUCUACCCCUGCUUCCCCAGAAGCCACUGUCUUCAGAGCAGAUGCAAUGACCACCCCUGGAAGCCUUGGAGGGCUAACAGAACCCUGGAUUUAUAGAUGCAUACACACCUUUUGACCUCUCCAGCUAAAAUUCGAAGUGGAAUUGAUCUGGUACAAUGCAAAAAUCAGCAUAAAGCCCGGACUGCUUCGAGGACAAAGGGAUCAGUAGAUACUGAAGAUGUCCUUGGUAGCAAGGCUGUCCCAGAGCUUCUGCAGUGGCCCCAAAAUACCAGGCUGUGUCCCUAUUAUGAGACUUGGAACAAACGUGAGGUGCUUAAUGGGAGAAGUUCAACACAACCAUCAGCCUUCAACUCCCUUUAUUUCUCAUGAUUGAGAUCUGCCAGGCGCAUUUCUUCAAAUGAAAAGUCUAAAUCCAGAGAACCGACAGUGACAAAUUGGAUUCAGUCUCAUUCUGUGAUACCGGCUGUGAUUUGCAGCUGUCCUCUCCUGCAACAUAUACAGGAGGAGUCUGAGCUUGUGUUUUUCUGCGGGCUGUCUGUCUGAAAUAAAUAAGGAAUGGGGAACAACCUCGACAACCUUUUCUACAGAAGCAUGAGGGCCAAUUUGCUUCUCCCACACAUGCCAGGUAAUCUUCAUAUCUUAACCUUUAGCUCUCAGAGCACAUUCUUAUCUGGAUAAUGGAAGGGUUGGAAAUAAGCUCAACUCAUUUGCACAAAGCAAUGCCAAGGAGUCACGGCCUCUCUACUCAAAUCAAGAGAUAAGAUGGCCUCUGACUUUCUCUAUAGACUCUCUGUCCAAGACUAAAUAACACAGGGAUGUUCUUGCCAAAUAUUUUUUUCUUCUGUUUUGAGGUCCCUCCAAGGUGACCUAUAGAGCUCUUAGCAACCAGUUUAAUCCUUUACCGAUGGUGGAGAGACAGAAGGAUUGGUUCAGAUGUUUGAAAAUAAAGCUAAAACUGGGAGGGGCUACUUGGUUAAUAAUAAAUAGCAAGAAAGAUAUAUGAAUAAAAAUAAGCAUCUUAAUGAU